AUGAGGUGGAAACGGACAGAGCUGGCGUAUCUGGCCUGUAUUCAGUUAUGAGUCCUCUGGCUACAUGCAUACCGCUCUCCAGAUUUGGACGGUGGCUUGUUUGCUUGGGGUUUUGUGAUGCAUUUGCAGGUGGAGUGCGCUGAGGUGCUCGGGGCAGCUGCAUGAGCUCGGUGUUGAGGCCAGCUCUUCGGAGUCUGGUACCCGGGCCGUGGGAAUGCUGUUUGUCCUGGGCGAUUAAGGCAGUGGUUUCGGGCUCGUGUGGGCGCCGAGCUGGCAUUCGGUGGCGGUCGCAUGCGACACGUUCCGGCGGUCAGUUCGGUCCUGCUCGAGCUCUCAAUACGCCUGUCCUCGGUGUAAAAGCCGGUUAUCUGUCCGACCCGUCUUGAAACACGGACCAAGGAGUUUAGCGUGUGCGCGAGUCAUUGGGUGUUGAAAACCCAGAGGCGCAAUGAAAGUGAAGGUCUUCCUUGUGGAGCUGAUGUGUGAUCCUGGGCGCUGCGGCGCUCGGGCGCAACAUAGUCCCGUUCCAACCGCAUGCGGUGGGGCGGAGACAGAGCGUGCGCGCUGAGACCCGAAAGAUGGUGAACUAUUCCUGAGCAGGACGAAGCCAGAGGAAACUCUGGUGGAAGUCCGAAGCGAUUCUGACGUGCAAAUCGAUCG
rnacentral:rRNA from 1 species